rnacentral:lncRNA from 1 species
CCUAGGCUGAAUGGGACCAGCCUGGCCAACAUGUUGAAACCUCAACUCUACUAAAAAUACAAAAAUUAGCCAGGCUUGGUGGCAUGUGCCUGUAAUCUCAGCUACUUGGGAGGCUGAGGCAGGAGAAUCACUUGAACCUGGGUGGUGGAGGUUGCAGUGAGCCGAGAUCACCCCACUGCACUCCAGCCUGGGCGACAGAGCAAGACUGACUCAAUUUAAAAAAAAAAAGAUAAAAAUGGUGCAUCUCUAUAGGGCGUUUACCAUGCCUGGAGCUUGUGGGACUGGAAGUUGCUCUGAUACGCAGCCUGGUCUACAGGAAGAAUUCUAUGUAUAUUUGCUGAAGAGACAAAGAAGGAUGUGGAUGAAUUGGAUGUGGAGAAUGAGAGGAAAGAAAAUGUCAAGGAUGGCUCUAAUUUCUGGCUUAUGCAACUGAGUGGUGCCAUUGAGAGAGACUCUCUCUCUUGCCUUCUUGGUUGGCACACUGGGGAGAAGCGAGCUGCAGCGUUGGAGAGGCCCAUGUGGCAAGGGACUGAGAGCAGCCUCUGGCCAACAGCCGCUGAUCCUACAGAUGAGAAUCUAGCCCUUGUGCUGCCUCAUGAGAGACCCUGGAGCAGAGGCCCCAGCUGAGCUAUGCCUGGAUUCCUACCCACAGAAACUGGAAGACAAUAAAAGUGUCGUUUAUGUUUUUUUAUUCUGGUAAAAAUCAUAUAACAUGAAAUUUUUCCAUUCUAACCAUUAAAAACAUGUCUUUUUGUGUGUGUGAGACAGGGUUUCGUUCUGUCACCCAGGCUAGAGUGCAGUGGUGCAAUCUCGACUCACUGCAACCUCUGCCUUUCAGGCUCUAGUGAUCUUCCCACCUGGUCAGCCUCCCAAGUAGCUGGGACUACAGGUGCGCACCACCAUGCCCAGCUAGUUUUUGUUUGUAUUUGUAGUAGAUAUGGGGUUUUGCCAUUUUGCCUAGGCUGGUCUCGAACUCCUGGGCUCAAGCGAUCCACCCUCAAAGUGCUGGGAUUACAGGCAUGAGCCACUGUGCCCAGCCUUAUUUUUAAAAUUUUUUAAAAUUUUUUUAUAGAGAGGGGUCUCAAUAUGUUGCCCAAGCUGGUCUCAAACUCCUGGCCUCAAGCCAUGUUCUCAAGCUUCCUAAAGUGCUGGGAUUACAG